ensembl:lncRNA
AGAGAGAGAGAGAGACAGAGACAGAGACAGAGAAUGACUGACUGCGGUUUCCUGAUUGAGGCUGGUCAGGUGUGAGCUUACACAAACACAAACUUCCCGGAUCUCACAUGAGAGUUCACGUUAGCUGAGCAAUAGCUUCCUGUUUUGGUUUUCAAGAUAUGAUUAUUCUACAGGCCGUAUGGGUGUAGAAUAAAAUCUUUGUACUUCUGUGUAUUAGGGCUGUGCAAUUAUUUGCAAUAAAUUGUGAUUUUGCCUCUGCAAUCAGCUUAGUGUUAAAGGUCUCCCUUCAACCAAAUAAAAAAUAUAAAUACAGUCACCCAAUGAAUCCAGCUGAUUCGGUAAGCCGAAUCACACACAAGAUUAUAUAAGCACUAGAAUCUUUUGUGUCUGCAUGUUUGCGAAAUAACUACCACCUAAUAUAUGACGCAAGCCAGGUUUGCAAAUUAAUAAUCAGUUGGCUCUUCUGUCUCAGUUAUUAUGUAAGGGUUCUGUUGGUUCCUAUUGCUCUGUUAUGUAAGGGUUCUGUUGGUUCCCAUUGCUCUGUUAUGUAAGGGUUCUGUUGGUUCCUAUUGCUCUGUCAUAUAAGGGUUCUGUUGGUUCCUAUUGCUCUGUUAUGUAAGGGUUCUGUUGGUUCCUAUUGCUCUGUUAUGUAAGGGUUCUGUUGGUUCCUAUUGCUCUGUUAUGUAAGGGUUCGGUUGGUUCCUAUUGCUCUGUCAUAUAAGGGUUCUGUUGGUUCCUAUUGCUCUGUUAUGUAAGGGUUCUGUUGGUUCCUAUUGCUCUGUUAUGUAAGGGUUCUGCUAGUUCAUAUUGCUCUGUUAUGUAAGGGCUCUGUUGGUUCCUAUUGCUCUGUUAUGUAAGGGUUCUGUUGGUUCCUAUUGCUCUGUUAUGUAAGGGCUCUGUUGGUUCCUAUUGCUCUGUUAUGUAAGGGUUCUGUUGGUUCCUAUUGCUCUGUUAUGUAAGGGUUCUGUUGGUUCCUAUUGCUCUGUUAUGUAAGGGCUCUGUUGGUUCCUAUUGCUCUGUUAUGUAAGGGUUCUGUUGGUUCCUAUUGCUCUGUUAUGUAAGGUUUCUGUUUGUCCACUCUGUGGGUUCCCAUUCUGCGUCUCGAGAGCCAAACCGGGCUAGAGCAGGUAUUUUUUAAGGUCCACAACCUAAAUAUUGUGAUGAGGGCUCAAUGAAGACGUGUCCCGGGGCCCCCCAUCUCUGGAUUUGAGGGUCAGGCUUGUGAUCAGGUUUGAAACCUGCUACCACAACGACACCAUCGGUAUACAUACAGAUAGAAGGCAGGGAGGCUGCAGACGGGUUGUGUUGUGGAGAGAAUGCUAGCACAUAGUUUUAGUGUGUGAUAUCAUGUGAUCUGUCACACCAUGUGUAUCGUGGGGAUACUCCACAGCAUUGCUGCGGUGUAGCUGGUUGUAAGCUUAUUGUCUUUUUAUUUUGUCUUUAUGAGCUGUUUAUGCUUUUAUGGGCAGGACAGUUCUGACAGGAAAGUCGUUUGAAAGAGAGAGGGACUUUCAUGUAGUGUCGGGUUCUAGCGGCGGUCCUUAUGAGCUGUGUUUCCUACGUGAGUCCGAGCUCGCCCAAGUACUAUAUCUUCGGCUGUGAUGCUAUUAAUUCAUGUCUGACCGACGCUAAUCACAAGGGUUCAUGGCCAGUCCCGAUGAGUUCCUCGUUCCUGAUGUGGUUGUUCCUCUGUGCCACAGGCUCCUCCCCCUCUCCGAGCAGCAGGAGCGUGGGCGCGUGUAGUGACUCGGUCAGCGACACGGACAGUUCUCCAGGAGUCGAGACGGGAAAUGACAACGUCUUCAUUAAGGUAAGCCGAGGUCAACAGGUGUAAACACACACCGAAUCCUGGCGAAGACGACCUCCAUCGGUUGUUUGACGGAAAUCUGGCGCAGAGUCAAAUCCUGUUCGUCCAGGGACCGACAGGCGUGCGUGUGCGUGUGUGCGUGCGUGUGUGCGUGUGUGUGUGUGUGUGUGUGUGUGUGUGUGUGUGUGUGUGUGUGUGUGUGUGUGUUUGUGUGUGACGUGCUCGACAAAGCCGUCUUGUCAGGACCAGAGUUACAGUUAACAAGGUGACACAUCUCUGGAGUCAGGCUGACACACUCGUACACGCACACAAACUUACACACAAGCGCACGCAUACACAGACACACACACCCACAGACCCUCAUGGACGGGCAAUCGCAAGCUGCUCAGGAAUUCUUACAUAAACAUCUGUUUAGUUUUACCUUGUGACAUCAGUUUAGUGACGUGUUGCAUAAACAUAUUUUAACACAAAACGUUUAAUCCAGGCCUUUUAAUUUACUUUCAUUGAAUAACAUGUUGAUAUUCUCUCUCUCUCUCUCUGGCUCUCUCUGGCUCUCUCUCUCCCUCUCUCCCUCUCUCUCUCUCUCUCUCUCUCUCUCUCUCUCUCUCUCUGGCUCUCUCUCUCUCUCUCCCUCUCUCUCUCUCUCUCUCUCUCUCUCUCUCUCUCUCUCUCUCUCUCUCUCUCCAUAUUGUGUGUGUGUGGCCUGCAGCUGGUCUGCAUUGCCCUUUCCUGUAAAAUCACACCUCCGAAUUACCUUCCCACGCCUGUGUGUGUAUGUGAAUGAGGGUGUGUAUGUGUGUGUGUUCCCAUGAGACUGUAAAUGCGGUAUUUGUUCAUUGUUUUAGCCAGGUGUCUUAUUGAUGUGCCUGGUUGCAUGCAACAACUCACACACCAAAGUGCACACACAUUUCCGUUCAAUACCCAUAGAUUGUGUUAGGUCACAGUAAGCUCUUUUCCAUUCAGAAAACCGAGCAUAUAUCACACAAUAGAUGCUGAUAUAGUCAUAAUCCUUACAGCAUAUUUUUCUGCCAGGGAAGAAUUAUUUAUGAAUCGAUAGAAAUUAUUUCGAGCAAUUACAACAAUUACCCUUAUUAUUAUCUCUAAGAGUGAAGUAGAAAAGGUUCCUUAUCAGUUAGCGCCUACGUAACCUGACGAACCUGCGUCGUCUAGUGUCUGUUCCUCAUCUGAAAUACUUAAUAACGUGGUUUCAGUGAAACCAGUGAUGUGAUCUCAAUGGGUCUGCCAGUGGCUCUGUAAGGACACUUUAUUAUCAUAAGACACCACAAGAAAUGCCUGAUAAUAUGUUGGUAUUACUUUAUGGAAAAUGAUGAUGCCUUACGAAUACUCUCUGUCUACCCUUCCCCUUUAUCGCUCAUUUUCUCCAACUCUAUCUCUCUCUCCCCAUUUCGUUCUUCUCUCUCCCCCUCUCUCUCUUCUUCAUCUCUCUCUAUCUCUCUAUUUAUUUCUCCCCCUCUUUGCUGUCUAUCUUCCCAUCUCUUUCCUCCUCUCUCCAAAUCUCCCUCCCCCCACCUCUCUCUUCCUCCCUGUCUCCCCCUCUCUCCCUCACUCCUUUUCUCCCCAUCUCGCUCUCCCCCUUCACAUCUCUCUCCAUUCCCUCCAACUCUCUCCCUGUCCCAUCUCUCUUCCCCCAAUCUCUAUCUCCCACCCUCCCCUCUCUCUCCCCCUCCUCAUCUAUCUCCCACCCUUGCAAUCUCUCUAUUCACUCCAUCUCUCCCC